UGCUUGGAGGGUGGGGCGGGUGAGUCUGCAAUUGAAAAACAGAAAGAAAUUGGUGUAAAGAUGUUCGUCGCCUAUUUUCCUAAGGAGGGGGAGCAGGUAUGAGAUGCCCGAAUGUUGGCAUCUGUGCUCGCAUUGUGUUGAAGGGUCUCAUCCUGGAGCAGAGGGACGGUCUGGGCACCUGGAGGAAAAACCAGGGUGAUGCUCUGUGACCUGCUAUCACCUCGGGGAAGCGGGGGAAACGGGAGGGCCACUCCUUCUCACGCCUCGCUUCCCCGCGGUGUGUUUCUACAGACUUGGUGGCGGAGAGCACCGACUGCCGCCAGGAUGAGGAGGCUGCAGGUAGGGAAGAGCACACAGCUGGGAUCCAGGGGGAGAGGGUUCCUGGGAGCAGCUGGGUUCCACCUGCUGCCGGGAGAGGGAGGAAGGGGGGGGAUAGGACUUGGCAGGUGGGUGGGUGGGUGGCCUAAUGAGUGGAACCCUGAUGUGGUGUUUUCCCCUCCGAAAUUGAUAACACGAAGAAGACUUGUGUCCCUGGUCUUUGUCGUGCUGUGUUUGGAUUCCUGUCUCCUUCCUUUGAGAGGGAGAAUCGAUUUUCCCUCCCAAAGCUGCUCCUUCCAGCUCUUGUCUCUGGCCAUUGUGCCAGCUUGCUUUGUGGGUCGCACCCUGAGGGUCCUGUGCCCAAGAGCUGUUGACUUAGUUUCCUUUGUUGCCCUUGAGGGACCUGAUGUGGUGGGACGCAACCCUCUCCUAGGGCCUUGACCCUGGAGACCAAGUUCGUCUGGUGAGUGUGAGGUGGUGGGUGAGAAGGCGCUGUCUCCCUCUGGAUGUUCAGGAUUUCUGGCCUCCCUGUCCUGCUGUGUCCUCACGGUGUGUCCUUGGGGAAUGGGCGUUCCCAGAGUUGGAGGAGUUAGUGGAGGUGUCCUCUGAGUUCCUGUUGUAGCUCAGUGGUUAAUGGAUCCACCUGAGAACCAUGAGAUUGCGGGUUCGAUCCCUGGCUUCACUCAGUUUGUUGAGGUUCCAUGGGUGUUGUGAGUUGUGGUGUUUGUUUCAGAUGCGGCUUGGAUCCCGCAUUGCUGUGGCUCUGUCGUAGGCUGGCAGCUACUGCUCCGAUUGGAUCCCUAGUCUGGGAACCUCCAUAUGCUACAAGAGUGGCCCUAGAAAAGAGAAAAAGGCAAAAAUACAAUACAGUAAAAUAACAGAGAUGUUGUCUGGGUUUGCUGCAUAAAAUCCAGUAUCCUUGAGUCCUGUCCACCUGCACACCUGACCCCAGGCUGCUGUCAUGACUGUGCUCCCUCUGGGUGAGGUUAAUGUCCAGCCGCCCUGAGAGACCCCCCUCGCCAGCAGGAAUUUGGGGGAGUGUGUGAAGUUGCUGCUGGCCUUGCUUCACACACUUUCUUUCCUGGCUCUGUGAUCCCGUCUCCUGGGAUUGACCAGAUCUGAGGACAGAGCCUCUGGGCAGCAGGACCAGGGGGUCACAGCUCCAGUCAGAUCCCCCUCCUCCCAUCAGACAGCCACCCCCUGAUCCCCACACCCCAGUCAUGCUGACCCUAUGACCCUUCCUAGUCCGGCCCCGGUCUCCUCCCUUCCAGGCCCCUGAAGCUGAGGGCAAACGGAGGCAGGUGGGGAGCAUUCACAUCGGGUCUGUACUGAACCAAUCUCAGCCUGAGAGAGGUGAGACAGGGUCCUUUCCCUCUGAGUUUGUGUCCACCUCUCUACGGCCUCCACAAUGUCAGGGCUCCAGAAAACAAUGGAGAAGACGGCAUCUACGCCUCAGUGCUCAUGCAUGCAGGGCGGCUCACCUGGCCCAGCCCUGCAUCAUUUGGAUGCUUAGUGCUCCUGGCAUCACAGAGAAGACAUGGUAGGAUCCCGACCUGAUUGGGAACUGCCAGGGUCUGGGUCUUCCCUCAGCCUCUGUAGGGCCCAGGGUGGGCCUGGGCCACCCCAUGACACCAAUUCUUGUACUGAGGUUGGAACUUCUGUAAAUUCUUUGACAUAGAUGACAAGUUCAAACGCAGCAACCCCUGAGGCAAUUCAAGUCCUUGUUCUCUUGGGAAGAGUGAAAGGCUAGGAUUCAAGUUCGUUAUAUUCCUUUUAGUGACUUUUCACUUCGUCAUCUAAUACCAUGAAUUUAACUUGUUUUACUACACUUUCAAAAGCAUUGUCUUCUCCGAGUUCCUGCUGUGUCUCAGUGAGUUAAGAACAGGACAUGGUGUCCAUGAAGAUGCAGGUUCAAUCCCUGGCCUCACUCAGUCUAAGGAUCUGGCAUUGCUGCAAGCUGUGGCAUACAUUGCAAAGGCGAUUCGAAUCCUACCUUGUUGCGUCUGUUUUAGGCCUGCAGACUUGUAUCUGACCCCUAGCCUGUGAACUUCCACAUGCUGCAGAUGUGGCUGAAAAAAAAAAAAAAAAAAAAAAAAAA
rnacentral:lncRNA from 1 species